UUAUUUUUAAUAUGAAAGGGAAUGCAACGGGUUGUUGUUGCAGGAGAUAUUCUCCAAUGUGGACAGGAAGAAACUCAGGAAUUACAUAACUACAAGGGU